CACUGAACUGAGACACNNGGUCCAGCUCCUACGGAGGCAGCAGUGGGCCAAUAAUGGACAAUGGGCGUAAGCCUGAUCCAGCAUGCCGCGUGUGUGAAGAAGGCUAGCAUCAGAGUCGAUUAGCGAUCUAUGCCCCGGCUGGCAUAAGCUGAUCGAGAUCGAGCUAUAGAGCUCUGCUAGAUUACAAACGCUAACUUCGUGCCAGCAGCCGCGGUAAUACCGAAGGGUGCAAGCGUUAAUCGGAAUUACUGGGCGUAAAGCGCGCGUAGGUGGUUCAGCAAGUAUGGAUGUGAAAUCCCGGGCUCAACCUGGGAACUGCAUCCAAAACUACUGAGCUAGAGUACGGUAGAGGGUGGUGGAAUUUCCUGUGUAGCGGGUGAAAUGCGUAGAUAUGGAAGGAACACCAGUGGCGAAGGCGACCACCUGGACUGAUACUGACACUGAGGUGCGGAAAGCGUGGGGAGCCAAACAGGAUUAGAUACCCUUGGUAGUCCACGCCGUAAACGAUGUCGACAGCCGUUGGGAUCCUUGAGAUCAUAGUGGCCGCAGCUAACGCGUAUAAGUUCGACCGCCUGGGGUAGUACGGUCCGCCAGGUUUAAAACUCAAUUAAUUGACCGGGGGCCCGCACAAGCGGUGGAGCAUGUGGUUUAAUUCGAAGCAACGCGAAGAACCUAUACCUGGCUUGACAUGCUGAGAACUUUGCAGAGAUGGAUUGGUGCCUUCGGGAACUCAGACACAGGUGCUGCAUGGCUGUCGUCAGCUCGUGUCGUGACAU
rnacentral:rRNA from 1 species